rnacentral:rRNA from 1 species
CUGGUUGAUCCUGCCAGUAGUCAUAUGCUUGUCUCAAAGAUUAAGCCAUGCAGGUCUAAGUACAUGCCGUAAUAAGGUGAGACCGCGAAUGGCUCAUUAUAUCAGUUGUGGUUCCUUAGAUCUUCGGUUACACUUGGAUAACCCUGGUAAUUCUAGAGCUAAUACAUGCAUCCCAGCACCAACCUUCGGGGAGGUGUGUUUUUAUUAGCCCAAAACCAAUCGUUGCCUUCGGGUGACGAACUCUUGGUGACUCAGAGUAACUUGGUUCGGAUCGCAUGGCUUUGCGCCAGCGACGCAUCUUUCAAAUGUCUGCCUUAUCAACUUGUUGGUUGGUUAAAUGCCAACCAAGGUGGUAACGGGUAACGGAGAAUCAGGGUUCGAUACCGGAGAGGGAGCCUGAGAAACGGCUACCACAUCCAAGGAAGGCAGCAGGCACGCAAAUUACCCACUCCCGGCUCGGGGAGGUAGUGACGAAAAAUAACAAUACCGGACUCUUCCGAGGCUCGGUAAUUGGAAUGGGUACACUUCAAAUCCUUUAACGAGUAUCUAUUGGAGGGCAAGUCUGGUGCCAGCAGCCGCGGUAAUUCCAGCUCCAAUAGCGUAUAUUAAAGUUGCUGCGGUUAAAAAGCUCGUAGUUGGAUCUCAGUCUCGGUCGGACGGUCCGCUUUAUAGUGGUACUGGACGAAUCGGACAUUCAGCCGCCUUUCUCAGUAUGCUCUUUACUGAGUGUAUUGGGACAGUGGCGCUUUCACUUUGAAAAAAUUAGAGUGCUCAAAGCAGGCUCACGCCUGAAUCUUCGUGCAUGGAAUGAUGGAAUAGGGCCUCGGUUCUAUUUUGUUGGUUUCCGGAACUCGAGGUAAUGAUUAAGAGGGACGGACGGGGGCAUUCGUAUUGCGACGUUAGAGGUGAAAUUCUUAGAUCGUCGCAAGACGAACUACUGCGAAAGCAUUUGCCAAGAAUGUUUUCAUUAAUCAAGAACGAAAGUCAGAGGUUCGAAGGCGAUCAGAUACCGCCCUAGUUCUGACCAUAAACGAUGCUGACUAGCGAUCCGUCGGCGUUACAACACAUGACCCGACGGGCAGCUUCCGGGAAACCAAAGUUUUUAUGUUCCGGGGGAAGUAUGCGUUGCAAAACUGGAACUUAAAGGAAUUGACGGAAGGGCACCACCAGGAGUGGAGCCUGUGGCUUAAUUUGACCCAACACGGGAAAUCUCACCAGGCCCGGACACUAGCAGGAUUGACAGAUUGAUAGCUCUUUCUUGAUUUGGUGGGUGGUGGUGCAUGGCCGUUCUUAGUUGGUGGAGUGAUUUGUCUGGUUAAUUCCGAUAACGAACGAGACCCCGUCCUACUUACUAGACCGAGGAUCCUCUCGUUCUCGCGUCUUCUUAGAGGGACAAAUGAUUC